rnacentral:rRNA from 1 species
UACGUAGGGGGCUAGCGUUGUCCGGAUUUAUUGGGCGUAAAGAGCGUGUAGGCGGCCAUGUAGGUCCGGUGUGAAAACUCGAGGCUUAACCUCGAGAUGUCAUCGGAAACCAUUUGGCUAGAGUCCGGAAGAGGAGAGUGGAAUUCCUGGUGUAGCGGUGAAAUGCGCAGAUAUCAGGAGGAACACCGGUGGCGAAGGCGGGUCUCUGGGCCGAUAUUGACGCUGAGGAGCGAAAGCGUGGGGAGCGAACAGG